rnacentral:rRNA from 1 species
AGAGUUUGAUCAUGGCUCAGGAUGAACGCUAGCUACAGGCUUAACACAUGCAAGUCGAGGGGCAUCAGUUUGGUUUGCUUGCAAACCAAAGCUGGCGACCGGCGCACGGGUGAGUAACACGUAUCCAACCUGCCUCAUACUCGGGGAUAGCCUUUCGAAAGAAAGAUUAAUAUCCGAUAGCAUAUAUUUCCCGCAUGGGUUUUAUAUUAAGAAAUUCGGUAUGAGAUGGGGAUGCGGUUCCAUUAGUUUGUUGGCGGGGUAACGGCCACCAAGACUACGAUGGAUAGGGGUCCUGAGAGGAAGGUCCCCCACAGUUGGAACCUGAGACACGGUCCAAACUCCUACGGGAGGCA